UAAUGCCUAGGAAUCUGCCUGGUAGUGGGGGACGAACGUUUCGAAAGGAACGCUAAUGCCGCAUACGUCCUACGGGAGAAAGCAGGGGACCUUCGGGCCUUGCGCUAUCAGAUGAGCCUAGGUCGGAUUAGCUAGUUGGUGAGGUAAUGGCUCACCAAGGCGACGAUCCGUAACUGGUCUGAGAGGAUGAUCAGUCACACUGGAACUGAGACACGGUCCAGACUCCUACGGGAGGCAGCAGUC
rnacentral:rRNA from 1 species